GAUAAUUCAUUUUUUAUUCAAAAUUUUAUUUUCCAUGCAUUUGUACAGGGAGUCUGUAUACAUUUGAGGUGAGCGGCAGAUUUUAUUUUGAAGAUGGGUGACUUUCAGAUGUUGUGAUGAAGAUUGUUGAAAGGGAUUAUCAACAUAGAACCAGUCCAUAUGAAUGUGCAAGUCAGGUGAGGAUUGGACUUAAAUGUGUAAUCAAGAAAUGUUUAUACAUAAUGUGCGAUGGUGACUGCAAGAAACAAGGAAUGUGGAGCUAAUGCAUGCUGCUUAGGAUGGAAAGGUCUUGUGUUUAUUGGUUGUGCCUGAGACACCAGUCACAGUUGUACCUUACUUCCAUUUUAGGGAGUCUAUACAUUUGAGGUGAGCGGCAGAUUUAAUUUUGAAGAUGGGUGACUUUCAGAUGUUGUGAUGAAGAUUGUUGAAAGGAAUUAUCAGCAUAGAACCAAUCCAUAUGAAUGUGCAAGUCAGGACUUGUACAACACCUGAGUACCUAGAUGACUGUUGAACUAAUUGGUGAACAAGAAAAGAUGUCAGAGAGGGGAAACCAAUUCAGAUGUCAUGAUCAAGAAUAUAUACUCUUAUCAAUGAUAUGAUCAAGAAUAUGUAAACUUGUAAUGAUUUAAAAUAUCUUAUAGAUCUGUAAAUCACUCUUAAUUACUUAAUUGUUCACACAUUAUCAUCUACACUUAUGCUAUAAAUCUUAUCUGUAUAUUAAUCGCCCCCUCUUAUCUAACCCCCUGCUGAUCGUAAUGACCUGUGUAUUGACUCCUGAUCUUAAGGAUCUUGUAAUGUGCUCCUGAUCGUCAGGAACAGAUCUUGAGUAUAUAUAUAGUGCAACAGAAUUUUAGAAUAAGAUAGGAAGAUUGAAAUAUAGAAGACUUAGUAGAUAGAACUGUUAGAGAUAGAUAAAGUUACUCACUUACUUGGACUAUUACCUAAUAUUUCUUUGAUUUAUAUGUACAUGUGAUUGUUUUACUUGGAUUUUAUUUUUUGUGAAUUAUUUUUCCUGAAUGUUUCUAUUUGUGAUGUGCUGUGUAAGUAAACUGUAGACUAGAAUUUCGGCAUCUAUUUUCAAGAUAUGAGGAACAAGGAUAAAUUAAUUUAUUCAUGCAAACUGACAUUAUGAAAUGUGUUGUAAGACCGCUCGGUGCGGCGCUACAA